rnacentral:rRNA from 1 species
UUAACACAUGCAAGUCGAGCGGAAACGGGAACUUAGCUUGCUAAGUUUGAUGUCGACCGGCGGAUGGGUGAGUAACACGUGUCCAAUAUGCCGUUAAGUAGGGAAUUGCCUUGCGAAAAUAAGAUAAUACCCUACUUGGUGUUUCGAGGACAUCUGAAGAUCACCAAAGGAUUUACCGCAACGAUGGGGAUGCGUCUGAUUAGGUUGUUGGCGGGGCAACGGCCCACCAGGCCUACGAUCGGUAGGGGUUGUGAGAGGAAGGUCCGCCACAUUGGGACUGAGAUACGGCCCAAACUCCUACGGGAGGCAGCAGUGGGGAAUAUUGGGCAAUGGGCGUAAGCCUGACCCAGCCAAGUAGCGUGCGGGAUGAAGGCCCUAUGGGUUGUAAACCGCUUUUGCGCGGGGGCAAAGUGCGCCACGUGUGAUUCUUUGUAUGUACCCUGCGAAUAAGGACCGGCUAACUACGUGCCAACAGCCGCGGUAA